UAGUUGACUUCAUCCAACCCAACCUCACAUCACUGUGGAAAGUUUGUAGCACUUAUUUUAUAUGCAGAGCACUUGUGAACUAGGAUUUUGACCAAAAGAUUUCGAGUGUUUUGUGUGAGCUUGCAUUGCAGGGAUACUUGAAGCUAGGGCAAUCCAAGUAAGAUAGCUUCAUCCUCAGAUAACAGGUUUAUGUUAUCUUAUCAUGGAGUCAUUUUUAAGUUUGUGCCCAACGCCUUCAUCCUUAGAAUGGCCGCCCAGAUGGCAAGCCACCGUACUCAGGCGACUGUCGCGCUAGGAUAAGAGUAUCUUAUCCAUUUCAGCUGGGUGCUCCAACUUUUGAUGCUGGCGAAGCUUUUGGAAUGAUGGCUGCAUCAUUUGUUAGUCUCUGUUGGAAGCUUAAUUAAACUGAGCUUCUCUGAAGGUUCAGAUGUGUGGCAAAGGAUUUCAAUUUUCCUAUUUACACAAAGGAAACUUGAGGAAGGUUCAGACUUCUCAUGCUCGGUGUUGUGCACUCAAGGUUACAUAGACAAAAAAG